rnacentral:lncRNA from 1 species
CUUUACCAUUAGUCCAUCUAUUUAAGCUAAGUUGUUCUAAAUUUCUAAUAGCUUUAUUUUGGAUUAUUAAUUGUCCUGUAUUAGGGUCUGCUCCUGUUAAUAAUUCAUGUAUUUUACUAAAAAAGUUAUAAGGAUUAUUUCCUAAUAAUACUAAUGCUUCAAAUUCUGAUUGUUUAUCUCUUUUAUAAGCUUCCCAUGUAGCUUUAGUACUUUCUCCUAAAAAAGUUUCUAAAUAUCUAUACAUUUCUAAUGGUUCCAUGUUAUCUGCUAAUCUAAUAUAAUGACCUAAUACCGUAUUUUUCCAAACUUCUAUUGUAUUAUUCCAAGUUUGGGGAUCAUGUGCUGUAAUAUUUAAUAGUUGUGGUUUAUGAGGUGUCUGAAAUUCUAUUUUAGGUUCUAAAGGUCUAACUUUUCCUCUAGCUAUAUAGUUUCUUUCUUUAUCAUUAUAAUUUGUAUAAGGUAUUCUAGGAGGAUGACCACUUUGAUAUUGAUAUGGUUCUGGUUCUGCUUUAG